AAGGGAGAGGGUGGAAGGAAACACUGGGUUACACAAAUUUGGCUUCCAAGCCAGAUUUUCAAAUGAACAAAACAGAAAUCAGGCAUUCAGAAUGUGUCUGCUAUCUCACACUGAGAGCUAUAGCAAUGGCCUUGGCCUGGCUCCAGAACAAACCAAAGGCUGUCCCUGUGAUCCAGGGCAUGCUAAAGCACUUCUUAGUUUAGGAGAUGAGAAGCAGAUCGUGCAUCCGUGUAGAGCUUUGCUGCUCUACAAAAGUCUUUACCUAUGAACAUUUGUGACAUGAUCGCAAGAAAAAAUGAAGAUGUAGUUUUAAAAGUAUUACCGUAUCCUGAUGCAGAGGUGAUAUGGAGGAAGUGUGGCAGAACACUAUGGGAAAAAUGAAGCAGAUAAUAUUCAAAGAGAAUUCAAGCAAUGGUGAACAUCAUGGCCUUGCAAUCCCCUCAGGAGAUUUGGGAUGGUUUGAUGUUCAUCUGGAGACUUGACAAAAUUCUACAGAAACUUAAUAGCCUGCCAACAUGGGUGGUUGCUGCUCGAAGGCAUUUCAACAUGGCAAAGGUCCUGUCUAUGCACUGCAGACCUGCAUCACUUAAAGGCAGCUUGGAAUGACAUGAAAACAGGAGCUGCGCAGUGUCAGGACCCCGCACGUACCAUUGCAAGGGCUGGACAUGCAACAGAUGGUUUUCUUUGUGAGGCUUGCAGCCAAGAACAGAGCUUUACCUUGCCACAGGUUGGAUGAAGACAUCUAGUCUUUAUAAGGAAAAGACUUCCGAAGCAGGAGAAGGAAUAUGAAAGAGCCCUCAAAGAAAUGGCCCAGCUAGGUAUCACACAACUAAUAAACUCUAGUAUGGCCACCAGAGGAUAAGAGGUAGAGUUGGAUGCAUCAGUCUAAGGAAAGGGGAGAUGGGCUGCUGGAAAGCAGUACAGUAGGUCACAGAAGUAAGAGAAACGCUGUCUGGAUGGAGGUAGGUCACUUCACUACAUUUGCUGGCAGAUGAGAAGUGAAAAGCAGAAAGCAAAAGUGAUGAAAACUAACUGAGAUAAUUCUAGGAGGAAUAAAAACAUUUUGUUGUUGAAUCAUUCCUGGAUAUCAGAAUGAUAAGAAAGGAGAAGAAAACUUUACAUCUGUAAAUUCAAGUAUUUACUUUUUUGGCAUUUAAGAAUUUACCAUAAUUGCAGUGACAAGAGGCUGAUUGUUCUUCUCAGAUUAAACUUGCCUGAAUUCAGAUAAUAUGGCAAACACUUCUUCAGUUCAUAUGGACCUUUACUGGAAAAUUUGGAUCAUAGAUACUUACUAUUUUGGGUUGUUGCAUCUCCAUGUUAUGCCUUCAUACAUUUUAUUACUAAACAUGG
rnacentral:lncRNA from 7 species